AAGUUUCGGGUGUUAGGAUUUGAUUGGAUUUGUGGUUUCUCUAAAUUAAGAUUUAAAUAUUAAUUUGAGUAUAAAUCCAAUUACAUUAGGAUAAAUAUUUAAAUCUAUUGGUGAUAAAUCAAUUAAGAUUUAAAUAUUUAAUAGAGUAGGAAUUCUAAAUAUAUUAGGAUUGGGGUACGUUUUGGUGGAGCUUUAUAAAUAACUCUUGAUGGGAUGCUUUUGGGGUUGGUAGUACUGCCAAGUUGAGAUUCUUGAGGAACUUACGGUGAGGUGUUUUGAAGCCAUUGGUGGACCGUCUAAAGAGAAGUUUGGCCAUGAGUUGCAUGCACCUAGUGCACGGGUGCAUGUGAGAGAGAAGAAGUGAAGGGUUGUCUUCUUUAUGGGUUUAUAGAAGACGAGAAAAGGGUAUGAGAGAUUUAAUAAAGAGGGCUCGGGUUGUAGCUUCUCUAUCCAGAAGAAAAGUCAGGUGUAAUCUUCUCUUAUUUAAUGAAUCUUAUUUUAUCGGCAUAUUUUCUAUUUUGUUGUUUUCUCUCUUUUAUAAUUGUAUCAGCUUCUGCUGAGGAGACGGAUUUAUUAUAAAAAUCCGAUUCGACGCUUCUGUUGCGGAAUCCCAACAAUCGGUACCGGAUCCACAACAGUCAGUAUUGAAGCAGGUUGCGGAUUUACAAAAUUCGGUACCUGGGCGAGCACUGGAUUCCCAACAUCGGAUCCUACUUAUAAUAAAAUUAGAAAAAUCCAAAUCCUACACUAAAUCAACUCUCAAAAUUUUAACAAUUUUCUGAAUAUAAAAAAAUAUAUUUAUCUAAUCCGAAGUUAAAACUUUCAAAAUUACCAAACAAUAAAAUUUGAAAAAAUUGAAAAACGACCCAAUUGUCAAUAUGAACCCCUGUAACUCUUGAUUUACAUGUCAUUUACAUUCUGUGAGAGACAAUAUAUUCUCACUAGCAAUUUAGUUCCCAACAUCACCUGGUCUAUGGUGUAGCCUUGUAAGAGUUUAUUCCUAUAUAUCCUCUCAAAUCAUCUGGUAUCAAACUCAUCCUCAUGGCAUCUCAUCCAUGGUGAUCACUAGUUGGUCUUCUCAGCCUCUCGUUGUGAGCCCCACCUGCGCAAAUUACUGGCUGAUCGAACCCUCCACCUUCAUCAUUGGGCACUUGUCUUCGUGAUCAAAAUGCUCUUUCACACCGAAUAGGGCUUUAGGUCCCGCCCUACGCAAAAGUUGCAGCAGAAGCUAGGCCACACAAGCAUCUCAAGAGAGAAGAGUACUAGGUUUGAUUCUCAAGGCAUCUUUUAUUAGCUUUUUCCCCUAACACUCGCAGUUAUUCGUAAUCGAGAGUUAAGUAUUCAAAAUCCAAGAUAUGGUUUUGAUUUUGUAGUUUCACUUUGCAUACAAGUUAGUCCAAAGUCAUGGUCCCUUUGGUCCAUUAAUCCACAUAUUCUAAAGUGAUGCUACAGGUAUAAAUAUAUACUUUAUAUAUAUAUAUAUAUAAACAAAAUGCUCAAAGCUAAAUGCAUGGUCCCUCUUAUGAGAUCACUCCAAAUAUUCCCAGGAUAUCGACCUCGGCACAUUUCUUUUGGAAUCUUGGACCUACCUAUCAUGCUUAUAUUUUUCAGAAAAAGCUCUAAAAUACUUAUUCUUCAUUGCACUAUAUAUAUUAUAAUAAUAAGUUGCGAUACCCUUUUAACGUAUGGGAAUCUAAUAAACUUGUCAUGCGUGCAUGCUCCUUUGGAAUUCAUAUUCAAAAUGGCAACAAGAGGGGACCAGCGCUUAAGAAAAUUCAAAAUGGCAACGCGCCCUUUUCAUGUGUGAUCUUAUGUUUCCAUGUGUAAUCUUAUUCUUUCAUGAUUAAAUCAAGUUGUCAUGUGGAGAGGGUUGUAACAAAGAGGCAUCGAUCGUCGCCUUUUUAACGCAAAGAGCAGUUUAUAAUAGCACUACAAAAUUUUUGGUGAUAUAGUGCAGUAAAACUUUUCUACACAAAUAAUUCGGUUUAUAAUUUCGAUUCACUAGCUCAACCAUAGCUUCGCAGAAGUGUCCUCUGAGUACAGCUAUAUCAAGAUUUAUUAGCAACUUUUUGAGUUAAACAUUGUUUUUGAGCUUUCGCCUUUCGAGCUUUGUUAAUUUUACCUUCAGGUGACAAAAAGAAGCCACAAGUUUUUAUCCAUCGCGCACUUGUUACUCGAUCGAAGCAAAGUUGUUUUCCGAACUAGACUAGAAUUAUCAUGUAAUAGGAACAGGACUUUUUUUUUUUGAUUAAACAGGGAAACAACCCUAUUUUACAAGUUGUGUGUAAGAUUACAAGGUGCUACUUAGCACUCCAACCCGCAGUGGACAAGGACAGCCAACAAAAGGUCCCUUGAACGACCCCCAAGCGAAAAGAAGAACAAAACAGAAUCGAACAAUACAGUAAACGAAACACAAACAUCUAGCACAAACAAAAAGCAAUCAAACUCGAGCAGUUUAUGCACCUAGGUACUGGUAGAGCUAAACCCCGACUUCCAACAUAGAGCUGUUUCGAAAAUACAUGUACCCAGGACGUCGCCGCGGACCUGCCGAUUAUCGAAUAGUCUUCUGUUCCGUUCUUUCCAGAUCUCCCAGAAAGUCGCUGCGAUGGCAAGAUCUAAAUUGAAUAGAUUUUGUUCAGUAACCAACCGCCUAAGACGACACCAUCGAGAUGCGAUUCCAUUAGGCAUCGGCUGUCUGCAAGGUUGAGUGAAUGUAAUUCGUCGUAGAAGUCCAGUCCACACCGAAGAUGCAUAUCUGCACAGAAGGAAAAUGAAAUGGCCUGAAAUGGCCUUUCAAUUCUAAAGGUUCAUGCAUGGUUUUGAGUGUACUCAUAUACAACUUAAUUAGUGCACCGUUCUAGUUAGUAUUUGACCAUUGAUGAUAAAUGUUUCAAAAUUAAAAUCUAACCCAUUACAAAUAGAUGUAUACGACGUUUAAAGAUGCUAUGUAUUUAAAACAAGUUUUUUUCAAAUAAACUAAAUAGUUAAUAAAGGAAUAAAUGGGAAGGAACACGAAAGAUCCUUUUUUUGGCUCUUUCUUUGGCCCUAUUCGAUCUCUUAUCCCUUUUGUCCAAUUUCUAGGAAAAAAGUAUUCUAACUUUAUAAUUGUAUAUACCAAGAAUUUAAGUGUUGUGGCACAAACCCAUGUCGGAAACUUACCGAAACAGUACAAUACGGUGCGUGUCGGACCGUGCCGAUACGUGUCGGUCACAAAAAAUAUAUGUGUCGUAAUGAAAUGAAAUAUUUAUUUUCUUUAGUAACAAAUAAUGCCAAUUAUUUAUUAUGUAUUUUUAUCAAAUUUUUUAAACUUUAUCGAAAAAAUUACUUACUAAUUUUAAGAAUAGAGGGUUUUGAGUUGUGCCAUCGGCACGGGGUCUGUAUCGUGCCGAUAUCUUAUUGACACGAUAUGGCACGGUGAAUACGGUACAUGCCGAUGAGCAUUUUAAUCCUUGAUAUAUACACAUAUAUAUAUAGUCUUUUUUAAAAUAUUAUAAAUAUAUAUUUUAAUAAGUCAAAUUUAGGCUUUGAGGCCUUUGAAGUAUGAUUUUAACAAUGUUCCAAAUAAUUUGCUUGGAAUUAAAAUAUUACCACUUCUAAAAAAAAAUUAUUAAUUGGGUGGACCCACUGUUGACCAGCCAUCUAACUAGAAACUAUUGAGUUAAAUAUCGGCAUUUCACUUAACGAAUCUAUAAAGAAAGAUAAAUUCUAAUUAAUUAAUUAAUCCUUCCUAAGACAACUAAUUAAUUACUAAUUAAUUAUGCUCCUCCCCCUCCCCCCAAUAAAAGGGGGGUCCACACCACUCACUGCCUCUACCUGCACCAAGACAGUUUUUUUUUUUUUUUUUUUUUUGAGGGAAAACACCAUGCACCUAGACAGGCUCAUGGCCCGAAAUUCAACCAAUGGGAAAAGAUACCAAAAAAAAAAAAAAACCUAACACACCGUUAUCUGUUCGUUUUACCGUUCAAUUCUAUGCAACAACUAAAUUAACCACCAACAAUUCAACUAAAAAUACAAGGGUCACCGACCGUCCUAGAGUAAGUAGCAAAGGGCUUGGUGGUUGGUACUCGAGACCCAGUUUGAAUCCUAGUUGAUUCACAUGACCAGUAAGUUUAUUUUAAAUGGAAAUAAACGACGGGUAGCGUGCUAUCUAUCUCUCAAAAAAAAAAAUAAUACAAACGGGUCGGAUCUGGAAGCUCAGGGUGUUUACCUCCCCGCUCCCUACGUUAUUUUUUUUUUUUUUUUUUUUCGAUUGAAACAACUUGUUUGGCCUUCACUAUAGCUCCAGGUUGAGAGCAGAUUUUUAGUGAAUUGAGACGGAUCAAAGGAAUGCAGGGGUUUUUUUUUGCCUCUAGCUCCGUUUUUGAAGCGAGAUGAAUUAUUCCUUUUCUUAUAUUUGGCCUCUACUUAUCGCCUCAUUCGGCAUGGAGUAGAGUGAGAGCUCCAUCAACCCCCAUAUAUCCAUUUGUAUCCCUAAGUUUAAUCUGCCUACAUGAUUUAUUAUUUUAUUUUACUAUUGUGAAAACAUAUAUAUGGACACCCUCUCCACUAUAAGUCAUUUUAAUUGAAUUAGGCAACUAAAUUUUUUUCUUUUUAAGUGACAUCUCAUUAAUUUGUAUACGUUGUGAUUUAAGUCAUAAGUCAUUUAGUACCAAUUAAACUAAUAAUAAUACAAUAAUUUGAAGAGAUUAUGCUAUAUUUAUGAACAAGGCCAUUUUGCAUAAAAAAAUUUACUAGUUUUGCAUUUUUACAAUGUGUGCCAAUUUUUUCGCUUUUCCAUAUUCGAAUCAUUUUUUUUUUAAGACCAAAUAUUCAUAUUCUCUCUCCUUGCUUUCUUUCUCCUCCUGCUUCCUUCACUACUCCUCCUCGUCCCUCUGUUGCCCCUGUGCUCCUUCCCUAUCUAGCCCACAAGUGUGAGGACGAUGACAAAACUUGACUCGCUCGUCACCAUGGCCAAUCUUGGCGUUCUCUGGCAAGGGAGCUGCGAGAGACGAGGGUGACACAGCUCAGAGCUUGUCGGAGACGAAAGGUGGCAGAGGAGAAGGGCGAUGAUUGCUGGCGAAAAUACUCUCGAAGCAAGUAUGCGAGUGUGGCCGCAAUGGGGAGGUGGUGGUGGUAACAAAAGAGGAAAAUCUAGCGGAUAAUGCAAUGUUACACUAUUUAAAAAAGUUGCACUAUUUAACGAUAAGUUGCACAAUUUGAUAAUUGUAAAAUAGCACAACUUUUUUUGUCAAAUUGUACAACGUAUGGAGUAGAGCUACUAUACUAUCGGAAUAUAGAGGAUCUGGUGUUAGGAUUUCCAUAUAUUGUGGCCCAAUUAAUCAUAUUCAAAUCUGCAUUUAUUAUAAAUAAAGAUCAAUCCUAAUAGAUAUAGAACUACUUGAUAUGGUAUAUUUUAUCCCUAUCCCAUCUAUUUUAAAUUUAAAUAGAAUCAUAAUCAGACUUUGAUGGGAAGUUAAUCUGGACUCUAUAUAAAGGGGUAUUGGUCCUGCCACCUUUUUAUACGUAUUCUGGUGAAGAAUUAUCAUCGAUUCCACACCAUAGGGUAGAGUGCAUGAGAUAGCAGGAGAAACCAAAUUACCUAAUUCGGUUCGUGAUUUACAGAUCAUAGCCGAAUUUCUC
rnacentral:lncRNA from 1 species